rnacentral:tRNA from 1 species
AAGAUCUUAAGUUAAUUAAAACUGGAAGCCUUCAAAGCUUCUAAUAAGCACAAGCUUAGAUCUUA